UUUUUGGGCUUUAAUUAAAGACAAGUACCAUGCUGUGAAGGUUUGUGCCUCCCUGUCUCCAAAAUUCAUAUGUUGAAAUCUUAGCUACCGAGAGAGAUGGUAUUAGGAGUGAGAAGAUGGUCAUCCUUGAACCAAGCAACAAGCCUCACCAGACACGGGCUCAUUGGUCUUGGACUCCAGCCUCCAGAACUGUGAGGAAUAAAUUUCUGUUGUGUAUAAACCA